rnacentral:piRNA from 1 species
ACAUGGCAACAGGGCUGAGAUACAUGUC